rnacentral:rRNA from 1 species
GAGUUUGAUCAUGGCUCAGAUUGAACGCUGGCGGCAUGCCUUACACAUGCAGGUCGAACGGCAGCACGGGAGCUUGCUCCUGGUGGCGAGUGGCGAACGGGUGAGUAAUGCAUCGGAACGUAUCCUGGAGUGGGGGAUAACGUAGCGAAAGUUACGCUAAUACCGCAUAUUCUGUGAGCAGGAAAGCGGGGGACCUUCGGGCCUCGCGCUCUUGGAGCGGCCGAUGUCGGAUUAGCUAGUUGGUGAGGUAAAGGCUCACCAAGGCGACGAUCCGUAGCAGGUCUGAGAGGAUGAUCUGCCACACUGGAACUGAGACACGGUCCAGACUCCUACGGGAGGCAGCAGUGGGGAAUUUUGGACAAUGGGGGCAACCCUGAUCCAGCCAUGCCGCGUGAGUGAAGAAGGCCUCGG